CGACAUGAUGAUAAAUCACUUUUUUUUUACUAUUUCUGGUACCUCUUAUGUUAGAGCCUUCGGGCUCAAUGAAUGAACAGGACUUCUGAUC
rfam:Fusarium graminearum chromosome 4, complete genome